AUUCCAGCUCCAAUAGCGUAUAUUAAAGUUGUUGCAGUUAAAAAGCUCGUAGUUGGAUUUCUGGCGUGGGGUGCUUGACCCGCCGCGGUUACGCGUGUGAGUGUCGGUGUGCCUCGGCCAUCCUUCUAGAAACUGGCUCUGCCCUUCAUUGGGUUGGGGUCAGGAUCUGGAUCUUUUACUUUGAAAAAAUUAGAGUGUUUAAAGCAAGCUUUGCGUGAAUACAUUAGCAUGGAAUAAUAAUUUAGGACUUCGGUUCUAUUUUGUUGGUUUCUAGGACUGAAGUAAUGAUUGAUAGGGAUAGUUGGGGGUGCUAGUAUUCAGCGGCCAGAGGUGAAAUUCUUGGAUUCGCUGAAGACUAACUUAUGCGAAAGCAUUCACCAAGGAUGUCUUCAUUA
rnacentral:rRNA from 1 species